rnacentral:rRNA from 1 species
CUGUUUAUAGAUUCUACCCUGAACGCACACGAUCUCGUCUGAUCUCGGAAGCUAAGCAGGGUCGGGCCUGAUUAGUACUUGGAUGGCACCUUCAUUGUUAUAAAUAUU